rnacentral:lncRNA from 1 species
UUUUUAUUUUUGUUCUUUUCUUUCACAUCAUAUAUACAAAACAGAUGUUUCUUUUCUAUAUUUUCUAUACAUAUAUUUUUCUAUGCUUGCUCGGUUUUUCUUUUCUUUUUCAAGAGUUGUGGUACUUACCAAUUCUUUUUCGUUCUCCCCAACUUAUUUCUUCCACACCCUAAGUGAAUGCUCUUAACUUUUUACGGCAAAAGAACAAUAAUCAAGAUUUUCCGGGUUGUAAAAAAAAGAUUUUUGAGAUCUCGCUUUAUUUCAAGCCGAGAUUCAACUGUUUAGGCUCAAAGGGGUUAACAAAUACUCUCUCUGCUCACAGGUAAGUUGUUUUUGGAUGUAGUUGUGCUCGAAAGAAAACAAGUGCCUUGAUCAUUUCUAAUUGCUUCCACAAUUUCACAAU